rnacentral:misc_RNA from 1 species
CACGUAGGGGGCAAGCGUUAUCCGGAAUUACUGGGCGUAAAGGGCGCGUAGGCGGCUGUGCUUGCCUGUGGUGGAAGCUCCUGGCUCAACUGGGAGAGGCCCACAGGGACGGCAUGGCUUGAGUGAGGCAGAGGGUCGCGGAACUGGCGGUGGAGUGGUGAAAUACGUAGAUAUCGCCAGGAACACCCGUGGCGAAGGCGGCGGCCUGGGCCUUGACUGACGCUGAGGCGCGAAAGCGAGGGGAGCGAACGGG